AUUGAACGCUGGCGGCAUGCCUUACACAUGCAAGCCGAACGGUAACAGGUUAAGCUGACGAGUGGCGAACGGGUGAGUAAUGUAUCGGAACGUGCCCAGUCGUGGGGGAUAACUGCUCGAAAGAGCAGCUAAUACCGCAUACGACCUGAGGGUGAAAGCGGGGGAUCGCAAGACCUCGCGCGAUUGGAGCGGCCGAUAUCAGAUUAGGUAGUUGGUGGGGUAAAGGCCUACCAAGCCUACGAUCUGUAGCUGGUCUGAGAGGACGACCAGCCACACUGGGACUGAGACACGGCCCAGACUCCUACGGGAGGCAGCAGUGGGGAAUUUUGGACAAUGGACGCAAGUCUGAUCCAGCCAUGCCGCGUGCGGGAAGAAGGCCUUCGGGUUGUAAACCGCUUUUGUCAGGGAAGAAAAGGUUCUGGUUAAUACCUGGGACUCAUGACGGUACCUGAAGAAUAAGCACCGGCUAACUACGUGCCAGCAGCCGCAGUAACAC
rnacentral:rRNA from 1 species